rnacentral:rRNA from 1 species
GACAGAGGUUGCAAACGUUGUUCGGAGUCACUGGGCAUAAAGCGCACGUAGGCGGCUGACUAAGUCGGAUGUGAAAUCCCUCGGCUUAACCGGGGAACUGCGUCUGAUACUGGUCGGCUUGAGAACGGUAGGGGUGAGCGGAACUCCAGGUGGAGCGGUGAAAUGCGUAGAUAUCUGGAGGAACACCGGUGGCGAAAGCGGCUCACUGGACCGUCACUGACGCUGAGGUGCGAAAGCUAGGGUAGCAAACGGG